rnacentral:pre_miRNA from 11 species
GAUCACUAUCUGCCAAAGAAACAAGGAUCACUUGUUAGGAUCACAUGUUAGGAUCACAUGUAAGUGAUCCUUGUUUCUUUGGCAGAUAGUGAUCCU